CCUACGGGGGGCAGCAGUGGGGAAUAUUGCGCAAUGGGCGAAAGCCUGACGCAGCGACGCCGCGUGAGGGACGACGGCCUUAGGGUUGUAAACCUCUUUCAGCAGGGACGAAGGGAAACUGACGGUACCUGCAGAAGAAGCACCGGCUAACUACGUGCCAGCAGCCGCGGUAAUACGUAGGGUGCAAGCGUUGUCCGGAUUUAUUGGGCGUAAAGAGCUCGUAGGCGGCCUGUCACGUCGGAUGUGAAAACCCGGGGCUCAACCCCGGGCCUGCAUUCGA
rnacentral:rRNA from 1 species